GACGAACGCUGGCGGCGUGCUUAACACAUGCAAGUCGAACGAAGAGCGAUGGAAGCUUGCUUCUAUCAAUCUUAGUGGCGAACGGGUGAGUAACGCGUAAUCAACCUGCCCUUCAGAGGGGGACAACAGUUGGAAACGACUGCUAAUACCGCAUACGAUCUAAUCUCGGCAUCGAGGAUAGAUGAAAGGUGGCCUCUACAUGUAAGCUAUCACUGAAGGAGGGGAUUGCGUCUGAUUAGCUAGUUGGAGGGGUAACGGCCCACCAAGGCGAUGAUCAGUAACCGGUCUGAGAGGAUGAACGGCCACAUUGGGACUGAGACACGGCCCAGACUCCUACGGGAGGCAGCAGUGGGGAAUCUUCCGCAAUGGACGAAAGGCUGACGGAGCAACGCCGCGUGAGUGAUGACGGCCUUCGGGUUGGAAAGCUCUGUUAAUCGGGACGAAAGGCCUUCUUGCGAAUAGUGAGAAGGAUUGACGGUACCGGAAGAGAAAGCCACGGCUAACUACGUG
rnacentral:rRNA from 1 species